rnacentral:rRNA from 1 species
GACGAACGCUGGCGGCGUGCCUAAUACAUGCAAGUUGAGCGCUGAAGGUUGGUACUUGUACCAACUGGAUGAGCAGCGAACGGGUGAGUAACGCGUGGGGAAUCUGCCUUUGAGCGGGGGACAACAUUUGGAGACGAAUGCUAAUACCGCAUAAAAACUUUAAACACAAGUUUUAAGUUUGAAAGAUGCAAUUGCAUCACUCAAAGAUGAUCCCGCGUUGUAUUAGCUAGUUGGUGAGGUAAAGGCUCGCCAAGGCGAUGAUACAUAGCCGACCUGAGAGGGUGAUCGGCCACAUUGGGACUGAGACACGGCCCAAACUCCUACGGGAGGCAGCAGUAGGGAAUCUUCGGCAAUGGACGAAAGUCUGACCGAGCAACGCCGCGUGAGUGAAGAAGGUUUUCGGAUCGUAAAACUCUGUUGGUAGAGAAGAACGUUGGUGAGAGUGGAAAGCUCAUCAAGUGACGGUAACUACCCAGAAAGGGACGGCUAACUACGUG